rnacentral:rRNA from 1 species
UACGUAGGGUGCAAGCGUUAAUCGGAAUUACUGGGCGUAAAGCGUGCGCAGGCGGUGAUGUAAGACAGUUGUGAAAUCCCCGGGCUCAACCUGGGAACUGCAUCUGUGACUGCAUCGCUGGAGUGCGGCAGAGGGGGAUGGAUUUCCGCGUGUAGCAGUGAAAUGCGUAGAUAUCAGGAGGAACACCGAUGGCGAAGGCAGGUCUCUGGGCUGACACUGACGCUCAUGCACGAAAGCGUGGGGAGCAAACAGG